rfam:Triticum urartu cultivar G1812 contig843647, whole genome shotgun sequence.
GUACUACUUCCUCCGUUCCGAAUUACUUGUCUUGGAUUUGUCUAGAUACGAAUAGACUUAUUUUAGUGUUAGAUACCUUCGUAUCUAGACAAAUCUAAGACAAGUAAUUCGGAAUGGAGGAGUAGUAG